rnacentral:lncRNA from 1 species
UGGUCUAAGUUUCAGACCUUCAAUGCGGCGGCGUUAAAAUAGUUGGCGUAAGUUUGGAUGGAUUCUCUCUCCUUUUGCUUGAUGUUGAUGAGGGACACCGAACAUCUCCGGAGAUGCCGGCUGCUGACAAAAUGAGCCACAAACUGAUGGCUCAUUUGAUCAAAGGAGAAGACAGUACCCAGCUUCAGUGUUGAGUAUCAGUUUCUUGCUGCUCUCUUCAAGG